rnacentral:rRNA from 1 species
AGAGCGAACGCUGGCGGCAGUCCUAACACAUGCAAGUCGAGCGCCCCGCAAGGGGAGCGGCAGACGGGAGAGUAACGCGUGGGAACGUACCCUUCGGUUCGGAAUAGCCCGGGGAAACUCGGAGUAAUACCGGAUACGUCCGUAAGGAGAAAGAUUCAUCGCCGAGGGAUCGGCCCGCGUCUGAUUAGCUAGUUGGUGGGGUAAUGGCCCACAAGGCGACGAUCAGUAGCUGGUCUGAGAGGAUGAUCAGCCUCACUGGGACUGAGACACGGCCCAGACUCCUACGGGAGGCAGCAGUGGGGAAUAUUGGACAAUGGGCGAAAGCCUGAUCCAGCCAUGCCGCGUGGGUGAUGAAGGCCCUAGGGUGUAAAGCCCUUUCGGCGGGAAGAGUAAGUGACGGUACCCGCGAGAAGAACGCCCGGCAACUUCGUGACCAGCAGCCGC